UUAGACAGUUCCCUGUCUUCUAACGAGUUAAGUUUAAUCCCCUGAAAGGCCUAAUUGUCUCACACCUGUCGUGUUUGGUGUGAACAGUGGUGUGUUCAUGUGAUAGCAAUCAGGAGGGGAGGAGGAAGUGAGUUUCUGUAUCUGGCAGGUACUCGCAGGCAUCAGUUUUCUUCCACUUCCCGCCUCCUGUGUCUCAUUCUCUCGCUGCAUGCAGCAGGAGCUUCCAUGCAGCUUUUUCUCCAGGACUCCUCAGCAAGCACACCUGGACGACCCCUGUAGCACCAACCUGAUCUGCACAGAGAGCUGCUGAGAACUCUGCUUCAGGUGUAUCCCCUCCUGCAAUGGAAACUUCCAUACCUGUACAUGCAAGAGGCAUCGACUAUAGCCUGCCAACCUGUGGACAGACUCAAUGUAACAGCCACGGCACCUGUGAGCCCCCAGAAGGAGGCGGCACGAACCUUGUGUGCAAAUGUGACUUGGGUUACCGUGGUGAAUUCUGUGAGAACACCGUCAACGGCGAGCUGAGUCUGCCACUGACCAUCAGUGUGGUGGCUGUCAUCGUCGGGCUGCUCAUCCUGGCUUUCAUUGUUGCCAAGUUGAGACAAAGACAAAAGCAAAACAGGAAACUUAAGGCAGCUGAUGUUUACUGUUGAGGUGAAUAAUUUGAGGAGUGUCUCAUUGCUUCAUGGCUGACUUGACAAAGUGAUGCAUCCUGACAGAUGGGUCAGUGUGAUCCCUGCUUCUGCCUCCGACCUCUUUCUGUUCCUGCUGUUAAACUGUCGCACAAAAAAGCCUGCAUAUGUACAAGCUUUUAAUGCAGUCUGUGUAAAUAUUUAUUAGAUAAAUCUAGUCAGCACUGGUAUUUUGUGUGUCGCUUUGGUUUCGCACUUGUCUGCUAAACCCAGAGGUUACAACGUAGAGGAGAGCUCCUCUGCUGGAGGACAAAGUGAGAUGAAAUUAUAAUGAAUUACAAAGCGUGCAUUUGUUUUUUUUAAUUGCUGGUCAAAGCCCAUUUUUAUUCUUGAACGCAUACAUGUUUGCCUCAACAACUCUGUAUUACUUCAGAAAAUAAUUCAGGAUAAAUAAUUAAGCUGUUUUGGGUCACUUUUUUUUUUUUUUUCCAUGUUUUACAUUUUUGUGCUACAUUGUCCUUGUUUGUCCAUAACUGACUGAAAUGUUUAUUAGAUUCCUUACCUGUGAAUGCUAGCAUAAGUAAUGCACAACUGCUUUUUAAAAAACACAUUUUCUCUAGUUUUAUGCAUCUGAAUUUGCAUUUUGCAUUGAAUAAUCUCUUAAUUAAAUCUAACCUAAACAUGGCUCA